rnacentral:lncRNA from 15 species
AAACUGCCAUACUGGAAAUAACAAAUAUUGAACUUGCUAACCGUUGGGUAUGUGAGCGUGGUGGGGCAGAUGGGAAACAGGGUAAUAAAUGGUAAAAUGUUUCACACAGGCAUUAAACAUAGUCAUUUAAUUUAUUGUUGAAUAUAUAGUGGGGACAUUUUAAGGAAUGUCACUCACUUAGCUUAAAGCCUUUGUUUGCUUCAACUCUGUGAGUGACUCAGUGGCUUAAUGUAAGUAAGGCCAGCCACAGUGGCAACAAGACUGUGUAAUCAGGAUCUAUUUAAAGAUGUUGGUGUGCAGUUGCUCAAUAAUAGGAUUUCAUAAGAGCACAAACAUGUAAAAGAAAAACAGAAGGGCAGCUAUCUACCAGUCUCUAAGGUCAGACAAGCAAUAGAAAAACAUCACUUUUCAGAUCCAGGGUGGUCGAACUGGUUCAGCUGUGUCUACAACAUCCAACAACAUCAGCCAAAGGUUUUGCAUAAACAAAUAUUACGAGUAGGGAGGCCUGCUUUGCGUGGCAGUUGAAGAUCUUUAAUGUGUCACUGCAGAGGUGACGUGAAGGUUUUGUUAUUGUCUGGUGUGGAGGCUUAUAACUCUACUCUAAACAGAGGAUGUUCUACCUCUUCAUCUUUGUCUGAAAGUGUGUGUGAACAGGACAAACUGAGCAUUUUGACUCCACAGCCAACCAUUCAGACCGGAUUUAUCUCUGCAGGUGAGGUCACAGUUAUUCUGAUCUCGUCCGGAGUGUGUACACUGAUAUUCUCUCUCUGGCCAGCAGAAUCUGAAUUUCUAUUAUAGACCAUAUCCUGUUAUUUAACCAGGGUUAAAAUAGCAUCCAGAAGAGGUGUGAAUAAUCCUCCCCCUGCAAUGUUAAUCCCAUCCAAAUGAUCUUUUAUGUCAUUUAAAUAAAAACAUUUCUUCUUCUUUUAGUUUUUACUUUUUAUAUUUUACAAUGUGUUUUUCUGUUAUUAUAGUAAUAUUUCCUUACAUCCAUCACUUAUGUAACAUCAUUUAAUGUAGUUAUUUUAACCCAAAUUAUUAUAUUUUCCAAAACCGAACCAAACUGUGACUGUUUCAUAACGUUAGGUGUUAAAAAGGCUUAUUAGCCCGGAACGUCUCAGACAGACACACAGCUCUCUGCGUCUGUAUGAGACGCAGGGGAGGCGUGUGUCUGUAUUUGAGGACCUGGAAUGAGAUUGGGUUGCAGCCUACCACUGGCAGUAAAGGGAAGCCCUCCAUAUCCCACUUUAAAGACCCCCCUCAAACAGUGACUGAAGGCAAACCUGAACUGUGAUCACUUUUACCCUGACAUGUUGCACAAUGCAUUCUGUCUCUUUCUACGUGUGUAUUGUAAGUUUGUGUCUGUAUAUUGUCACUGGUAAUGUUCCUGUGUUUGUUACCUGCCUAUAGGGACUACGGAUGUAAAUUAGCAUUCUUGUUAACUCCAACAUUUGUUUA